ACUAUUUUGGCAGAAAAAAUGUAAUGAUUUUAGAAGUCAUAAAUAUAUAUGAUAUAAUAUAUAUAUAGUA
rnacentral:tRNA from 1 species